rnacentral:rRNA from 1 species
GAUGAACGCUGGCGGCGUGCCUAAUACAUGCAAGUCGAGCGAACAGACGAGGAGCUUGCUCCUCUGACGUUAGCGGCGGACGGGUGAGUAACACGUGGAUAACCUACCUAUAAGACUGGGAUAACUUCGGGAAACCGGAGCUAAUACCGGAUAAUAUAUUGAACCGCAUGGUUCAAUAGUGAAAGACGGUUUUGCUGUCACUUAUAGAUGGAUCCGCGCCGCAUUAGCUAGUUGGUAAGGUAACGGCUUACCAAGGCAACGAUGCGUAGCCGACCUGGGAGGGUGAUCGGCCACACUGGAACUGAGACACGGGCCAGACGCCUACGGGAGGCAGCAGUAGGGAAUCUUCCGCAAUGGGCGAAAGCUUGACGGAGCAACGCCGCGUGGGUGAUGAAGGGCUUCGGAUCGUAAAACUCUGUUAUUAGGGAAGAACAAAUGUGUAAGUAACUAUGCACGUCUUGACGGUACCUAAUCAGAAAGCCACGGCUAACUACGGGC